ensembl:snoRNA
UCUCACGGUAGUUUUCUUUUUGGCACAUUUGUUAAGUUUUCAAAUGGGCCUAACACUGUCACAUGUAUUAUAUUGGAGCUGGCAAAGGCCUGUGACAAAGAGAUCUCUCUCAAGCCUUUCACGCCUUUCCUCCAUCAGAGAAUGGCUCCCACAUGU